AGUGAACGCUGGCGGUAUGCCUAACACAUGCAAGUCGAACGGCAGCACAGUAAGAUCUUUCUCUUACGGGUGGCGAGUGGCUUACGGGUGAGUAAUACAUCGGAAUCUACUUUUUCUUGUGGGGUAACGUAGGGAAACGUACGCUAAUACCGCAUACGACCUACUUGUUUAAUCAGUGGAUCUUCAUACCUUGCUCGAUUUAAUGAGCCGAUGUCGGAUUAUUUAGUUGGCGGGGUAAAGGCCGACUAAGGCGACGAUCCGUAGCUAGUCUGAGAGGAUGACGAGCCAAACUGGACUUGAGCAAGGGUCCAGAUCCUUCCGGGAGGAAGAAGUGGGGAACAUUGGCAAAAGGGCGCAAGCCUGCUCCAGCACUACCGGGUGGGUGAAGAAGGUCUCGGGGUUGUAAAGCCCUUUUGUUGGGAAGGACAAGCAGCAGGUUAAUAACCUGAUGCUCUGACGGUAUCCAACGAAUAAGCACCGGCUAACUUCGUG
rnacentral:rRNA from 1 species